GAUGAACGCUGGCGGCGUGCCUAAUACAUGCAAGUCGAGCGAACGGACGAGAAGCUUGCCUCUCUGAUGUUAGCGGCGGACGGGUGAGUAACACGUGGAUAACCUACCUAUAAGACUGGGAUAACUUCGGGAAACCGGAGCUAAUACCGGAUAAUAUUUUGAACCGCAUGGUUCAAAAGUGAAAGACGGUCUUGCUGUCACUUAUAGAUGGAUCCGCGCUGCAUUAGCUAGUUGGUAAGGUAACGGCUUACCAAGGCAACGAUGCAUAGCCGACCUGAGAGGGUGAUCCGCCACACUGGAACUGAGGCACGGUCCAGACUCCUACGGGAGGCAGGAGUAGGGAAUCUUCCGCAGUGGGCGAAAGCCUGACGGAGCAACGCCGCGUGAGUGAUGAAGGUCUUCGGAUCGUAAAACUCUGUUAUUAGGGAAGAACAUAUGUGUAAGUAACUGUGCACAUCUUGACGGUACCUAAUCAGAAAGCCACGGCUAACUACGU
rnacentral:rRNA from 1 species